GAUGAACGCUGGCGGCGUGCCUAAUACAUGCAAGUCGAGCGAACAGACGAGGAGCUUUCUCCUCUGACGUUAGCGGCGGACGGGUGAGUAACACGUGGAUAACCUACCUAUAAGACUGGGAUAACUUCGGGAAACCGGAGCUAAUACCGGAUAAUAUAUUGAACCGCAUGGUUCAAUAGUGAAAGACGGUUUUGCUGUCACUUAUAGAUGGAUCCGCGCCGCAUUAGCUAGUUGGUAAGGUAACGGCUUACCAAGGCGACGAUGCGUAGCCGACCUGAGAGGGUGAUCAGCCACACUGGAACUGAGACACGGUCCAGACUCCUACGGGAGGCAGCAGUAGGGAAUCUUCCGCAAUGGGCGAAAGCCUGACGGAGCAACGCCGCGUGAGUGAUGAAGGUCUUCGGAACGUAAAACUCUGUUAUUAGGGAAGAAAAAAUGUGUAAGUAACUAUGCACGUCUUGACGGUACCUAAUCAGAAAGCCACGGCUAACUACGUG
rnacentral:rRNA from 1 species